rnacentral:rRNA from 1 species
UACGUAGGUGGCAAGCGUUGUCCGGAAUUACUGGGUGUAAAGGGAGCGUAGGCGGGGUGAUAAGUCAGAAGUGAAAAUUAUGGGCUCAACUCAUAACCUGCUUUUGAAACUGUCGCUCUUGAGUGAAGUAGAGGCAAGCGGAAUUCCUAGUGUAGCGGUGAAAUGCGUAGAUAUUAGGAGGAACACCAGUGGCGAAGGCGGCUUGCUGGGCUUUUACUGACGCUGAGGGUCGAAAGCGUGGGGAGUAAACAGG